CCUGCUUUCCCCAAGAGCCCACACUUCUACAUGAACCCGAAACCCCAGUCACAGAUGGCAGAGGAAAGAGUCAGCGAGCAAUCUCGGGUGGCUUCUGUUAUACGUGGCUGCAUCCUGCUUGAAGUGGAUGACGACUGUGUACUUUCCUAGGAAGAUGUCAAAUUGUUUCUGCUAAGCACUGCUAGCUUCAGCAACGGAAAGCUUUCCUUGGAAAUUCUUGCCAGCAAGGGCUUUCCUCUGCCAUCACAGUGUCAUUUCCACGUACCUUGAGAAGCACACUGCAGCCGCUGAACACCUUGGAUCGUCUCAAAGUUCAGCCCAGCGAACCUUAGGAAGACCAGGAAGAACCAGAGGAAGUAUGGAAACAUUUGUCAUCCUGGAAUACAAGGUCAGGCACCAAUCAUGAGGAUGAUUCAGUUAAUGAUGGAAGAAAAAGCAGAAAGGAGAGAAAAGUUCCAAUGUGUGAACAGAUCCAAGUAGGGAAUUGAGUCACCAACCAAAGUGUUGUUUGCUGUACAAUUACUCUUCACUCCCAAACACAGUUGCCAUAUCCAGCUGUCAGAAUGAAAGGACUAUUUCCUAAAGUAUUGUCCUAUCCAGGCUGAAUCCAUGGGAAACUGGCCUGCUAAUAUAGUAGGAUCACAUUUUUGCCAACUAGUGAGUGAGUUGUGAAAACCUUCACUCCUGCGUACCAGCUCAGUGCUUCUCAACCUUGGUUCAGGUCAUGGGCAUUCUUGAGAUAAAAUCAGAUAAAAGAUAUAAACCCUUUUCUCCGAAAAGUGCACACACACACACGCACAAAUUUCUGUAAACAAUUUGAAGUGGUUCCACUUUGGAACAAGUGGUUCACUUGUUUGCAAAUACCCAAUUAUGAUUCUCCCUUGGGCCAUAGAUUUCACAUUAAGGAUCUUCUAUAUUAGAGAUGAGGAAAGUAGUUUUUAUCAGUAUUCCAUGUAUCAGAUAUAAUAAUAAAAAUUUGUUGUUGUUCAGUUGCUAUGUAUGACUCUUUGCAAACUCAUGGACUAUUGCAUGCCAGGCUUCUCUGUCCUUCACUACUACUGGAGUUUGCUCAAACUCAGGUCCAUAGAGCUGGUGAUGCCAUCCAACCAUCUCAUCCUCUGUCAUCCCCUUCUCCUCCUGCCCUCA